rnacentral:rRNA from 1 species
GAAUUGUUCACAAUGGGCGCAAGCCUGAUGACGCAACGCCGCGUGGAGGAUGAAGGUCUUCGGAUUGUAAACUCCUGUUGCCCGGGACGAAUGGCCCCAACCUAACACGGUGGAGUGUGACGGUACCGGGUGAGGAAGCCCCGGCUAACUCUGUGCCAGCAGCCGCGGUAAUCCAGAGGGGGCAAGCGUUGUUCGGAAUUACUGGGCGUAAAGGGCGCGUAGGCGGCCUUCUAAGUCGAACGUGAAAUCCCCGGGCUCAACCCGGGAACUGCGUCCGAGACUGGAAGGCUUGAAUCCGGGAGAGGGAUGUGGAAUUCCAGGUGUAGCGGUGAAAUGCGUAGAUAUCUGUAGGAACAUCGGUGGCGAAGGCGGCAUCCUGGACCGGUAUUGACGCUGAGGCGCGAAAGCCAGGGGAGCAAACGGG